GCGUUGAUGGUUCAGUGGUAGAAUUCUCGCCUGCCGCGGGGGAGACCGGGGUUCGAUUCCCCGCCAACGCA
rnacentral:tRNA from 1 species